GAUGAACGCUGGCGGCGUGCCUAAUACAUGCAAGUCGAGCGAACAGACGAGGAGCUUGCUCCUCUGACGUUAGCGGCGGACGGGUGAGUAACACGUGGAUAACCUACCUAUAAGACUGGGAUAACUUCGGGAAACCGGAGCUAAUACCGGAUAAUAUAUUGAACCGCAUGGUUCAAUAGUGAAAGACGGUUUUGCUGUCACUUAUAGAUGGAUCCGCGCCGCAUUAGCUAGUUGGUAAGGUAACAGCUUACCAAGGCAACGAUGCGUAGCCGACCUGAGAGGGUGAUCGGCCACACUGGAACUGAGACACGGUCCAGACUCCUACGGGAGGCAGCAGUAGGGAAUCUUCCGCAGUGGGCGAAAGCCUGACGGAGCAACGCCGCGUGAGUGAUGAAGGUCUUCGGAUCGUAAAACUCUGUUAUUAGGGAAGAACAAAUGUGUAAGUAACUAUGCACGUCUUGACGGUACCUAAUCAGAAAGCCACGGCUAACUACGUG
rnacentral:rRNA from 1 species